AAUACUGUAUGCACAACUAAAUCACAAUAUAAAAAAAUUCGUCGCAAACUUAAAGGGGACAGUGCUUUUGCGUUGGCAGCCAUGAAACUGUGGAAUGCCCUUUCUCUUAUCAUUAGGGUGGGAUGAAAACCUGAGAAUUAUUGUCAGAUAUCAACCUGCAGCCUGCGACAGGCAAAAACAAACAAUGAGGGAGGAGGCGCAACCACACUGUAAGUCAUCUGUCACAACGUUACUAAGACAACAAUCAUAUGAGCCACCUCCUGAUCCAACUGCACCCACAGGUCUUGGCAGAGAAGAUAUUGCAAUCAGUGCAAUAUCACUCUUGCAAUCAGUUUAUCACGAAGGUGGCUACAUCUGAUUUAGCCUGUAGGGCUUCAAGGUUUAUUGUGUUGUGAGGACCGAGGUUCAUUUCAGUCUAUAACUGUUAAAGAAAAAUAGACCAUGUUGAAGUUAAAAAAAGAUAUUGACAUUAUGUGCUCCUUGUGAUGUGAUGUUCAUGUAGAAACAAUAGCCCAUUUAUUGUGGCAUUGUACUUAUACCAAGAAACUGUGGAAAGAUGUAUGUAGAUUUGUGAUUGAUAAUAUUUACAGUGAUUUUGAACUACUGUUUUUGGUUUUGUGAAUGUUGAAUGUAAGCUUGAAGACAAUUACCUUUGAUUAACCUGAUAAUAAUUUUUGCUAAAUAUUGUAUCCACAAAUGUAAAUUUACUAAUGCCAAACCAAUAUUUACCUUACUCAAGAAAGAAAUUAAUCUAUAUAUAGGAAUGAUAAACUCAUUCCAAAACAAGAAAGCUAUCAAAACGGUGAAUUUAUUUACUUUACACAAUAUAUUUGUAGAUUUAUAACCCCCGCUCCUUUCAUUUUGUUUUGGUCUUUUUUUAUUAUUAUUUAUAUCUUUUUAUGUAUUCAUAAUAUUUUCCUUGAUGUGUUUUUAUUCCCCUGGCAAGUUCUCUGCUCUGUACUCAUACUGUUUGUUUUUGAACUGGAAA